CCUACGGGGGGCAGCAGUGGGGAAUAUUGGACAAUGGGGGCAACCCUGAUCCAGCCAUGCCGCGUGAGUGAAGAAGGCCUUAGGGUCGUGAAGCUCUUUCACCGGUGAAGAUAAUGACGGUAGCCGGAGAAGAAGCCCCGGCUAACUCCGUGCCAGCAGCCGCGGU
rnacentral:rRNA from 1 species